AGUGAACGCUGGCGAUAGGCCUAGCACAUGCAAGUCGAACGGCAGCACAGUAAGAGCUUGCUCUUACGGGUGGCGAGUGGCGGACGGGUGAGGAAUACAUCGGAAUCUACUUUUUCGUGGGGGAUAACGUAGGGAAACUUACGCUAAUACCGCAUACGACCUACGGGUGAAAGCAGGGGAUCUUCGGACCUUGCGCGAUUGAAUGAGCCGAUGUCGGAUUAGCUAGUUGGCGGGGUAAAGGCCCACCAAGGCGACGAUCCGUAGCUGGUCUGAGAGGAUGAUCAGCCACACUGGAACUGAGACACGGUCCAGACUCCUACGGGAGGCAGCAGUGGGGAAUAUUGGACAAUGGGCGCAAGCCUGAUCCAGCCAUACCGCGUGGGUGAAGAAGGCCUUCGGGUUGUAAAGCCCUUUUGUUGGGAAAGAAAAGCAGCAGGUUAAUACCCCGCUGUUCUGACGGUACCCAAAGAAUAAGCACCGGCUAACUUCGUG
rnacentral:rRNA from 1 species